AUUCAGUGCCCGGUCUACCACCGGGAUUUCAUAACCCUUUGUUGUCCGACUCUGUUGCCUCCGGGGCGACCCUGCCUUCGGGCGGGGGCUCCGGGUGGACACUUCAAACUCUUGCGUAACUUUGCAGUCUGAGUAAACUUAAUUAAUAAAUUAAAACUUUUAACAACGGAUCUCUUGGUUCUGGCAUCGAUGAAGAACGCAGCGAAAUGCGAUAAGUAAUGUGAAUUGCAGAAUUCAGUGAAUCAUCGAAUCUUUGAACGCACAUUGCGCCCCCUGGUAUUCCGGGGGGCAUGCCUGUUCGAGCGUCAUUUCACCACUCAAGCCUCGCUUGGUAUUGGGCAACGCGGUCCGCCGCGUGCCUCAAAUCGACCGGCUGGGUCUUCUGUCCCCUAAGCGUUGUGGAAACUAUUCGCUAAAGGGUGUUCGGGAGGCUACGCCGUAAAACAACCCCAUUUCUAAGGUUGACCUCGGAUCAGGUAGGGAUACCCGCUGAACUUAAGCAU
rnacentral:rRNA from 1 species